rnacentral:rRNA from 1 species
CCCUUAGAUGUUCGGGGCCGCACGCGCGCUACACUGAAGGAAUCAGCGCGUCUUUCUCCUUGUCCGAAAGGACUGGGUAACCCGCUGAACCUCCUUCGUGCUAGGGAUUGGGGCUUGUAAUUCUUCCCCAUGAACGAGGAAUUCCCAGUAAGCGCGAGUCAUAAGCCCGCGUUGAUUACGUCCCUGCCCUUUGUACACACCGCCCGUCGCUACUACCGAUUGGAUGGUUUAGUGAGAUCCUCGGAUUGGUCCCGGCGCGGCCUCUGGUCGUGCCGGAGUGCCGAAAAGAAUGUCGAACUUGAUCAUCUAGAGGAAGUAAAAGUCGUAACA